rnacentral:rRNA from 1 species
GACGAACGCUGGCGGCGUGCUUAACACAUGCAAGUCGAACGAUGAAGCCCUUCGGGGUGGAUUAGUGGCGAACGGGUGAGUAACACGUGGGCAAUCUGCCCUUCACUCUGGGACAAGCCCUGGAAACGGGGUCUAAUACCGGAUAAUACUUUCUCUCUCCUGGGGGAAGGUUGAAAGCUCCGGCGGUGAAGGAUGAGCCCGCGGCCUAUCAGCUAGUUGGUGGGGUAAUGGCCUACCAAGGCGACGACGGGUAGCCGGCCUGAGAGGGCGACCGGCCACACUGGGACUGAGACACGGCCCAGACUCCUACGGGAGGCAGCAGUGGGGAAUAUUGCACAAUGGGCGAAAGCCUGAUGCAGCGACGCCGCGUGAGGGAUGACGGCCUUCGGGUUGUAAACCUCUUUCAGCAGGGAAGAAGCGAAAGUGACGGUACCUGCAGAAGAAGCGCCGGCUAACUAC